UUUCCCGGAAGAAGAGCGGCGGACGGGUGAGUAACGCGUGGGUAACCUGCCCUGUACACACGGAUAACAUACCGAAAGGUAUACUAAUACGGGAUAACAUAUGAAAGUCGCAUGGCUUUUGUAUCAAAGCUCCGGCGGUACAGGAUGGACCCGCGUCUGAUUAGCUAGUUGGUAAGGUAAUGGCUUACCAAGGSAACGAUCAGUAGCCGACCUGAGAGGGUGAUCGGCCACACUGGAACUGAGACACGGUCCAGACUCCUACGGGAGGCAGCAGUGGGGAAUAUUGCACAAUGGGCGAAAGCCUGAUGCAGCAACGCCGCGUGAGCGAUGAAGGCCUUCGGGUCUUACAGCUCUGUCCUCUAUGAAGAUAAUGACGGUACUUGAGGAGGAAACCC
rnacentral:rRNA from 1 species